UACGAAGGGAGCUAGCGUUGUUCGGAAUCACUGGGCGUAAAGCGCACGUAGGCGGAUUUGCCAGUCAGGGGUGAAAUCUCGGGGCUCAACCUCGGAGCUGCCUUUGAUACAGCAAGUCUUGAGUUCGAGAGAGGUGGGUGGAAUUCCUAGUGUAGAGGUGAAAUUCGUAGAUAUUAGGAAGAACACCGGUGGCGAAGGCGGCCCACUGGCUCGACACUGACGCUGAGGUGCGAAAGCGUGGGGAGCAAACAGG
rnacentral:rRNA from 1 species